GGGCGUAUAGUGUAGUAGGAUAUCACGCUGGGUUUCUAACCCGGCAACACGGGUUCGAAUCCUGUUACGCCCG
rnacentral:tRNA from 1 species